AACGAACGCUGGCGGCAGGCUUAACACAUGCAAGUCGAGCGCCCCGCAAGGGGAGCGGCAGACGGGUGAGUAACGCGUGGGAACGUACCCUUUGCUACGGAACAGCUCCGGGAAACUGGAAUUAAUACCGUAUGUGCCCUACGGGGGAAAGAUUUAUCGGCAAAGGAUCGGCCCGCGUUGGAUUAGCUAGUUGGUGGGGUAAUGGCCUACCAAGGCGACGAUCCAUAGCUGGUCUGAGAGGAUGAUCAGCCACAUUGGGACUGAGACACGGCCCAAACUCCUACGGGAGGCAGCAGUGGGGAAUAUUGGACAAUGGGCGCAAGCCUGAUCCAGCCAUGCCGCGUGAGUGAUGAAGGCCUUAGGGUUGUAAAGCUCUUUCACCGGAGAAGAUAAUGACGGUAUCCAGAGAAGAAGCCCCGGCUAACUUCGUGCCAGCCGCCGCAGUAAGAC
rnacentral:rRNA from 1 species